AGUGCCUAGUUAAAUAAAACAUUUCCUUCCUUCCUUUUAUGUUAUACAAUCUCUGAGGAGGAAUGUGCACCUUUAAUUGUGUUUGUUCUGCAUUUGUUUCGCUUCAGUUAACCUGGUACUAGUGUUGAGUCUGUUCGGCCUUUCCCAGUGCAUACUCCCACUGCUGGCCCCAGUUAUCGGAGCGGCUGUUGGCCCCUUGGUUCAGAGUCUCAUCGGUGAUAUCGGCGCUCUGUUCUCUGGCAAGAGUGGAGACUUAGCAAUCCCAAAUUCCAAAAUCAAACUGCACUACAACAUCCACAAAUGCCGUCUGCACAUCGGAAAGAGAGCUUUUCUUAGUGGCAUAGAGCGAUGCAAGCUGACCGUUUGUGAGAACCAGAUUUCCCACUCGUGUCAAACCUGUACGAAGCACAAGCAAGCUGAUGCCCUGAAGUGCGCCAUGAACGCCGAAGUCGCUCAUCUCCAGGCACUUGCAAAGGGUUAAACGGGCUCGAAGAAGGGUUAACUGGCUCGACGAAGGGUUAACUAACUCCAUGAAUAGUUAACUGGCUCAGUGAGGAGUUAACUGGCU